CGGACGGGUGAGUAACGCGUGGAAAACCUGCCGUAUACUGGGGGAUAACACUUAGAAAUAGGUGCUGAUACCGCAUAAGCGCACAGCUUCGCAUGAAGCGGUGUGAAAACUCUGGUGGUAUACGAUGGUUCCGCGUCUGAUUAGCUAGUUGGUGGGGUAAUGGCCUACCAAGGCAACGAUCAGUAGCCGGCCUGAGAGGGUGAACGGCCACAUUGGGACUGAGACACGGCCCAAACUCCUACGGGAGGCAGCAG
rnacentral:rRNA from 1 species